CACUAUCGUUAACUGAAUACAUAGGUUAACGAGGCGAACCGGGGGAACUGAAACAUCUAAGUACCCCGAGGAAAAGAAAUCAACCGAGAUUCCCCCAGUAGCGGCGAGCGAACGGGGAGCAGCCCAGAGUCUGAAUCAGCUUGUGUGUUAGUGGAACGGUCUGGAAAGUCCGACGGUACAGGGUGAUAGUCCCGUACACCAAAAUGCACAGGCUGUGAACUCGAAGAGUAGGGCGGGACACGUGGUAUCCUGUCUGAAUAUGGGGGGACCAUCCUCCAAGGCUAAAUACUCCUGACUGACCGAUAGUGAACCAGUACCGUGAGGGAAAGGCGAAAAGAACCCCGGCGAGGGGAGUGAAAAAGAACCUGAAACCGUGUACGUACAAGCAGUGGGAGCACCUUCGGGUGUGACUGCGUACCUUUUGUAUAAUGGGUCAGCGACUUAUAUUCUGUAGCAAGGUUAACCGUAUAGGGGAGCCGCAGGGAAACCGAGUCUUAACUGGGCGUUAAGUUGCAGGGUAUAGACCCGAAACCCGGUGAUCUAGCCAUGGGCAGGUUGAAGGUUGGGUAACACUAACUGGAGGACCGAACCGACUAAUGUUGAAAAAUUAGCGGAUGACUUGUGGCUGGGGGUGAAAGGCCAAUCAAACCGGGAGAUAGCUGGUUCUCCCCGAAAGCUAUUUAGGUAGCGCCUCGUGAACUCAUCUUCGGGGGUAGAGCACUGUUUCGGCUAGGGGGUCAUCCCGACUUACCAACCCGAUGCAAACUACGAAUACCGAAGAAUGUUAUCACGGGAGACACACGGCGGGUGCUAACGUCCGUCGUGAAGAGGGAAACAACCCAGACCGCCAGCUAAGGUCCCAAAGUCAUGGUUAAGUGGGAAACGAUGUGGGAAGGCACAGACAGCCAGGAUGUUGGCUUAGAAGCAGCCAUCAUUUAAAGAAAGCGUAAUAGCUCACUGGUCGAGUCGGCCUGCGCGGAAGAUGUAACGGGGCUAAACCAUGCACCGAAGCUGCGGCAGCGACACUAUGUGUUGUUGGGUAGGGGAGCGUUCUGUAAGCCUGCGAAGGUGUGCUGUGAGGCAUGCUGGAGGUAUCAGAAGUGCGAAUGCUGACAUAAGUAACGAUAAAGCGGGUGAAAAGCCCGCUCGCCGGAAGACCAAGGGUUCCUGUCCAACGUUAAUCGGGGCAGGGUGAGUCGACCCCUAAGGCGAGGCCGAAAGGCGUAGUCGAUGGGAAACAGGUUAAUAUUCCUGUACUUGGUGUUACUGCGAAGGGGGGACGGAGAAGGCUAUGUUAGCCGGGCGACGGUUGUCCCGGUUUAAGCAUGUAGGCUGGUUGUCCAGGCAAAUCCGGAUAAUCAAGGCUGAGGUGUGAUGACGAGGCACUACGGUGCUGAAGUAACAAAUGCCCUGCUUCCAGGAAAAGCCUCUAAGCAUCAGGUAACAUCAAAUCGUACCCCAAACCGACACAGGUGGUCAGGUAGAGAAUACCAAGGCGCUUGAGAGAACUCGGGUGAAGGAACUAGGCAAAAUGGUGCCGUAACUUCGGGAGAAGGCACGCUGGUGUGUAGGUGAAGUCCCUGCGGAUGGAGCUGAGACCAGUCGAAGAUACCAGCUGGCUGCAACUGUUUAUUAAAAACACAGCACUGUGCAAACACGAAAGUGGACGUAUACGGUGUGACGCCUGCCCGGUGCCGGAAGGUUAAUUGAUGGGGUUAUCCGUAAGGAGAAGCUCUUGAUCGAAGCCCCGGUAAACGGCGGCCGUAACUAUAACGGUCCUAAGGUAGCGAAAUUCCUUGUCGGGUAAGUUCCGACCUGCACGAAUGGCGUAAUGAUGGCCAGGCUGUCUCCACCCGAGACUCAGUGAAAUUGAACUCGCUGUGAAGAUGCAGUGUACCCGCGGCAAGACGGAAAGACCCCGUGAACCUUUACUAUAGCUUGACACUGAACAUUGAGCCUUGAUGUGUAGGAUAGGUGGGAGGCUUUGAAGCGUGGACGCCAGUCUGCGUGGAGCCAACCUUGAAAUACCACCCUUUAAUGUUUGAUGUUCUAACGUUGGCCCCUUACCGGGGUUGCGGACAGUGUCUGGUGGGUAGUUUGACUGGGGCGGUCUCCUCCCAAAGCGUAACGGAGGAGCACGAAGGUUAGCUAAUCCUGGUCGGACAUCAGGAGGUUAGUGCAAUGGCAUAAGCUAGCUUGACUGCGAGCGUGACGGCGCGAGCAGGUGCGAAAGCAGGUCAUAGUGAUCCGGUGGUUCUGAAUGGAAGGGCCAUCGCUCAACGGAUAAAAGGUACUCCGGGGAUAACAGGCUGAUACCGCCCAAGAGUUCAUAUCGACGGCGGUGUUUGGCACCUCGAUGUCGGCUCAUCACAUCCUGGGGCUGAAGUAGGUCCCAAGGGUAUGGCUGUUCGCCAUUUAAAGUGGUACGCGAGCUGGGUUUAGAACGUCGUGAGACAGUUCGGUCCCUAUCUGCCGUGGGCGCUGGAGAAUUGAGGGGGGCUGCUCCUAGUACGAGAGGACCGGAGUGGACGCAUCACUGGUGUUCGGGUUGUCAUGCCAAUGGCACUGCCCGGUAGCUAAAUGCGGAAGAGAUAAGUGCUGAAAGCAUCUAAGCACGAAACUUGCCCCGAGAUGAGUUCUCCCUGAGACUUUAAGUCUCCUGAAGGAACGUUAAAGACGAUGACGUUGAUAGGCCGGGUGUGUAAGCGCAGCGAUGCGUUGAGCUAACCGGUACUAAUGAACCGUGAGGCUUAACCUU
rnacentral:rRNA from 1 species